rnacentral:lncRNA from 1 species
UUUUAAAGGAAUUUUAAAAGUCUUACUUGUUUCACGUUUUUAUCACGUUUCUAGCUAAGUUAACAUUGGUGGAUUCGCUUGAUUGAAAACGUUAUACAACGUUUUAUGAUGGUUGGAGAGUCUUGGAGUUCCCUUCAGCCACAGAGACGACCUGUGUGUGUGUGUGUGUGUAU